rnacentral:lncRNA from 1 species
AGGAUUGCUGUCCUCCUCUUCACCAUUUUCUUCUUUAUGAGCCAAGUUCUACCAGGUAACAAAAUAAACUUGGUAAGACCAGGGGCAAAUUCAAGGAGAUCUGUGAACGUCCAAAUGGCUCCUGUCAGGACUUUUGCCUCGAAACAGAAAUCCAUGUAGGGAGAUGUUUAAAUAGCCGACCCUGCUGCCUGCCUCUGGAGCAUCAACCAAGAAUUGAGAGCACUACACACAAAAAGGACU